rnacentral:rRNA from 1 species
UACGUAGGUCCCGAGCGUUGUCCGGAUUUAUUGGGCGUAAAGCGAGCGCAGGCGGUUUAUUAAGUCUGGUGUAAAAGGCAGUGGCUCAACCAUUGUAUGCAUUGGAAACUGGUAGACUUGAGUGCGGGAGAGGAGAGUGGAAUUCCAUGUGUAACGGUGAAAUGCGUAGAUAUAUGGAGGAACACCGGUGGCGAAAGCGGCUCUCUGGCCUGUAACUGACACUGAGGCUCGAAAGCGUGGGGAGCAAACAGG